AAUGUUGCAAAAUAUUAUUUGUAUAUUUCUAAUUUUUGUCACUUUCUUAUCUGAUGCAACUGCACCUCCUCCAUCUUUUGAGACCAAUUUCAGGGUACAUUUUAGAAGAGCAGUCUUAGACGAGAAAUUACAGAGCGUUUAGCAGUCGAGCAAUCUGCAUUUUAUGUCUGUGAUGAAUUCUUAAAAAUUGUUUUAUACUGACUACAAAAUAUUAUCGACUGUUUACAAAAAUCUUACAAGAAAAAAUCGCUGCGAGGUAAUAGUCUAGUGACGCAAAACAUUCCAUGUCCCAAAAUUUCAGAUAUCUAAUUUUUUGAAAUAUAAUAAAGAGACUUAUUUUCAUAAA